AGUGGCUCCAUGCAAGUUUAUUUCUCUAGCAUCAGGACCAUACCCAAGCCAUUGUGACUAAAAAUAAAAGAAAACUUAGCCAGCAUCACCUUAGAAGUCACUGAUGGAACCAGAUUUGAACACAGCUGCCUAGCUCCAAAGUCUUUAUGACUCUGAGUAAAAGACCUUUCCAGUUUAACUUUGAGAUGCUGUAAUUAUACAUGGA
rnacentral:lncRNA from 1 species